ensembl:lncRNA
GACGACUUGUUGGCCCAGUGAGUCGGGUUUGCGCCCACCCGCGGCUCUUGCCUGAGAGAAGGCUGACUGUUUUUUACCCAGUGUGGUGAGAAUAGAAGAUUUGCGUUCGGAGAGUGUCUAAACCUCUUAGGAGCUCACCUCCAAACGCGGGGUGGGGUUAAGGGCACUGCACGCUGCAGGAAGGCGAGUGCGGGGGGCCAAGUGGGACGCGCGAGAUUUGCCGAGCCACCGGGCAGCAGAAAGAGGCGGCCAGCCGACGCCUGCCCUUCGGCCGAAUGACCCACCGCUGCCGCGCCGCCACCUCUGCACCUGCCUGGCUGAGGAAAGGAAAAGACUUUCGGGGGUUUAGAAGAAGACAAGUCUUCCGGCUUGCCCUUGGGGCCCGCCCCAAAGAGCGAAGGAAGCCCAGUGGGUACGUGGCGGGCGCCCUAUGCGUCUUGCAGGGAAAGUAGGCUGCAGACACGCGAGAGAAAAAACAACUACAC